rnacentral:rRNA from 1 species
AACGUAGGUUCCGAGCGUUAUCCGGAUUUACUGGGCGUAAAGCGCGUUCAGGCGGUUUGGCAAGUCGGGCAUGAAAUCUCUCGGCUCAACCGGGAGAGGUUGUCCGAUACUGCUGGACUUGAGGGCAGUAGAGGGUGGCGGAAUUCCGGGUGUAGUGGUGAAAUGCGUAGAGAUCGGGAGGAACACCUGUGGCGAAGGCGGCCCCCUGGGCCGGCCCUGACACUGAGACGCGAAGGCGUGGGGAGCGAACGGG